AUUAUGCGCCAAAGGUGUUAAAAAGGAAAGUAAGUGUAGAAAAAAAAAAAAAAAAAAAGAAAGAGACCGAAGUAAUAGAGGAAGAAAACACUUAAAAUCUAACUGCUGCCGUGUUCUUUAUAUCGUUUGCAUCAACCGCGUGAUGGAAACAACUGACUUUUUAAAAUUCUUCACAUAACAACAAAAAGCAAAAGUCCGGGAGGCUUUGUGUGUGGUGGUGUAUUAAACACGCUGAAAUGAGAUGCUUCACUUUUUUUCGACGAAAUUACUAAUGUGGUUAUAUAAUUAUUUUAUUGUCUUCUGUGCCACAAUGUAUUUCUCAAUUUGAAAAGAAUUCAAAGCGCAAUUUCCUUUGGCUCCUUCGUAAUUGUUCUUUCGUUAAAUUUAUCUCCUCUGGAAAUUGAUGAACUUACGUCUCAGAUUUUCAAUUUAACAACGAGGAAAACUGAAACGCGAAAUUCUGACGGCUUUGGUACCUCUGAGAAGAGAAAAGGAAUAUGAAAGAAAACGUGCUGUUGGUUUGAAAAUUCGAGAAUCUCCAAACCGUUUCUCCAUCCUAGAUGUGCUUCUCGAUCCGCCCCUUUCUGUCGAUACUCUCUUAAUGACAUGGUGUUGGCAUUAAGUUCCUUUCUUUUACCUAAAAAACUGUAGAUCGAAGAAAGAUCUCUAGUCUCUGAAGUUUCAAAGGAAUUUUCUACGGUCUGGUGACGAUUGCUCUCAGCCCUAAUUAUGUCGACCUACGCGUUGAAAUCACGAAUUUAUAGGCUAUAUACAGUCAAGAUUUGAAAGGAAGUAAAUGUUCUCCUACUUUUAAUUAUCAUUAUUAUUUUGGCUUUUAAAAGGCACUGGUUAAAAACUGACUUUUGUAUAGAUGUAUGGAAUUUUUAGUAGUGGGCUCCCGCUUAGUUUUAUUGAGUCUCUUUUGUGAGAAUCAUGUUUGAAAGUGGGGUCUAGAUCGAGGAGUUUCUAAAUAGCGUAAAAGUAUCCUAUCAUAAAAUUUUCCUUAAUCUUUCAGAUUUCGUGUUUAAAGAAUAGUCGGACCAAAAAAAUACAAUUUUGACACCACCGAAACUUCGUGAAAACCUUUUUCAUGAGGCGCUUUAGGCUAACUGUCUCACGCUUACUGUUUACUAUAACCGCAAUUAAGAUCUAAUGUAUUCAUUCUAAUUGUUUGAUUGUCAACAACACGUACGAUGCAUUCGCGAUCAAGAAAGUAUGAAAAAGGGCAUUAUUCUCUCAGUUACCGAAGGUACAGCAACAACUAGUGCACGGUCGAAAAUCUCGGAAAAUAUAGGCUAUCAUUGAAGAUUCUCGCACUUGAAAUGCUUGAUUUAUUGUAUCAGUUAAACUUACCUGAAAACAUAGUCGACUCUAUUUCGGCGAGAAAAUCAAUUCCGUUGCCUGAAGGCGUAAAAUUGUGCACAUAAGUUAACCUUAGAUUAAGAGACAUCGUUUCAAUCGUUGAUCGAAACAAUACUGAUAUUGUGCUCUACUGAAGUUACUUGAAAUAGACAGAGGGCCAAACGAGGACCGUAUCGAUAGUUUUGAGUUUCCUUGUACAUAGUUUCGUUUUGAGGGUAAAAUUGUGAGAAAUUCAAGAGAUAACUUAGGUCACGUAGGAUAAUUCUGAUUUGAUGUGCAUUUACUCCACAGUUCCUCGACUCAGCUCAGUGGCUUGUGUAUGGGGUCCCAGGGUUUCUCAGUUUGAGCUGUAACUUUUGUUGUUUUAAUAUUGGGAAGCCAAAUAAUAAAAUGAGCUCGUUUGGUUCAGCGUGAA
rnacentral:lncRNA from 1 species